rnacentral:rRNA from 1 species
UACGGGGGGGGCAAGCGUUGUUCGGAAUUACUGGGCGUAAAGGGCUCGUAGGUGGCCAACUAAGUCAGACGUGAAAUCCCUCAGCUUAACUGGGGAACUGCGUCUGAUACUGGAUGGCUUGAGUUUGGGAGAGGGAUGCGGAAUUCCAGGUGUAGCGGUGAAAUGCGUAGAUAUCUGAAGGAACACCGGUGGCGAAGGCGGCAUCCUGGACCAAUACUGACACUGAGGAGCGAAAGCCAGGGGAGCAAACGGG